rnacentral:lncRNA from 1 species
GCAACUUUUGUGUACCGUUCUUUAUAUUCAAAUCAAUACACUAGGUAUGACAAAUCGAUUAAACCAUUAUUAAAAUAAUAAUAAUAAUAAUAAUAAUAAUAAUAAAAAUGAAGAUAUUAUUUAACAUAAAAUGAUUGACCGAGUCCUCAGGUUUCUUUCAUUUUCUCCCCGGUAGAUAAAAUAAAAGUCCUUGGAGUACCCGAGGAAGUUACUGCUAGAUGAUGAAACUGUGCUUGCAUGUGACUUGGUGGCCCACUAGUCUUCCCUAAAUUCUAAAACAAACGAAUACAAUUUGACAAUGGAAGGAGUGAAAGUAAACAAUAGUGAGCGGUAAGCAAGAAUCUUUUAAAAGACGAGGGAGACAGUUUCAUCGCAACUAUUUUUAGUUAAAACACUUAUUUUAAGUGAAUCUUGGAAAUAAUCUUGAUACUUAUCUUUAUU